GAUGAACGCUAGCGGCAGGCUUAACACAUGCAAGUCGAGGGGUACCAUUGUUGCUUGCAACAGAUGACGACCGGCGCACGGGUGCGUAACGCGUAUAGAACCUACCUUUUACUGGAGAAUAGCCCAGAGAAAUUUGGAUUAAUGCUCCAUAGUAUUAUUAAAUGGCAUCAUUAAGUAAUUAAAGAUUUAUUGGUAAAAGAUGGCUAUGCGUUCUAUUAGUUAGUUGGUAAGGUAACGGCUUACCAAGACCUCGAUAGAUAGGGGCCCUGAGAGGGGGAUCCCCCACACUGGUACUGAGACACGGACCAG
rnacentral:rRNA from 1 species